rnacentral:lncRNA from 1 species
CGGCCCCGUAGUCACGUGAUGCGCGCUGUGCACGCGCCUGACCGCGCGGAGUUCGCUCUGGGGUGCUUCAGCAGUGUGCCAGUGAAUCCUCGGGACAAGGCGCCAAAGUGUCCACCCACCCCACUUGGAAGGGCUGGGCAAAGGUUGCACGUGGCUCGUCAAGCCGGCCUUGCCUCGGAAACUCCACCAGUGAUGCGGCUGCCCACGGUGGCCUGCUCUGGGUGCUUAGGGUUAAACCAAGUGGUCCUGCGCGACGAGAAAGAAGUUGAGAUUUGGAGGCAAGCCUUAUUCAGAGGCCGGUCUUUUCUCAUGCAUAGCAGGACAAUGAAGAAAGAGCAGCCCUCCCCACCGUUCCAGGUUAGACAUUUACUCUCAAGCUUAGACUCAUCUUCCUCUCUUCCUUCUUUGCUCUGACAAACCUGGAGCGCCGACAGGUCGCCACACACUUUUUAAGGGGAGAGAGAGAGCACGGAGCUCGGGUGCCAGCAAGGGAGCCAGACACACGCAGAGAAGGACUAUGUCGGGUUGUGUUUGUCACUGAGUGACCACCCCUAGGGUGGGCGGCCACAAAGGGAGGAGACCUUUGAACAAUGACUUCAUACACAAGCAGCCCUGAGAGGAUAGGGUCAGAGACCACCAGGAAAAGCCACUGGAGUCAGUUCCGCUCCCCAGUGCUCGGCCUGCGUUCGGUUAGAAGGACCCGUCCAUCCACUGUGGCAGAGAAGCGCCAGGCCUGGCUUUUGGAGCUGAGUCCCCAGCCUCCCUACCUGUUUUCAAUGAGAUGGAAAUCAGGUGCACGUUGCCCAGCUUCUCACGUGACCUCUCUCUAAAUAAGCAGGUAUGAACAUGGUGGUCAUCCUUGAGGUGUGACAGCCCCAGAAGGAUCUGCAGGAGCUACUGUAGACCAGGUCAUUUCAGGCCUGCUGAGGAGAACAGUGCUCUCCUCAGCCUGGAAGGCCCAACAGUAGUGGAGGACACUACUGUGAUUUGGGCCUAAAGUUUCAUUCAGAGGUGGAAACAAACGGAAGGAAAUUCAGCCACAGGGCACCGCUGCUCCUGAAGAAAUGAAUGUUUUCCUCCCAGAACUGAAUUACUGGUGUGCUGGGACUGGCAAAGACCAUGGAGGCCUGCUAAAGGAUGCUGCCCUCUGUGUGGUGAUGUACCCAAAUUUACCGUCAGCAAAGACCGAGCAGAUGGGGCUAUCUAGUCGUGGACUUCAACACUCCCAAACUACCUGAGAUGUCUGCAGACAGAAAUGUGGAUAGUCUUCCCUGAUUGCCUUGGGCUGCAGAACCCCAAGGGACAAGGGUUUCUCUGUGUAGCCCUGGUGUCCUGGAACUCACGAC